ensembl:lncRNA
CUUCCUUCCUUCCUUCCCUCCCUCUCUCUUUUCUUCAGCUCUUCCUCCUUACCUCCCUCCCCCUGUGGUGGCGAUAUGAGAGGGUAUCCUGCUGGGGCUGUUGCUGCUGCUGCUUCAGUGAUUCUCCUAUCAAGUACGGCAUGCUACUCUCACCACCCAAACCUCUGGCUCACCACUGGCUCUAGAAAACAACCCAGCUAACUUACUCAUGACAUCUCCUGCUGAUUAGAAACAGAGUCAAUCAACUACAUUUGUUCAGAAGGAGCGCCUGAGAGAUGUGCAGACCAAAUCAGCCCUGGGUCAGUACCGCACUCUGUGGACACACAGGCUCUGAUUCUAGCUCUAGCUGUUUUUUCUCCGUCUCCCUCUUCCAAAUGUUCUCCCUCUUUUUUAUUCUCUUGCACUGUCUCCUGCUCUUCCUCUCCCUGCAGUAUGAGAUCCAAGAGGGCCGUUAUGGUGGAGUGCAACACAUUGUCUCCCCAUUAGGAGGCACUCAGGACAUCAUGGGUGCCUUUUGUUUUUACCCAUUAGAUAAUUAACGAGAGAGGGAGAGAGAGAGAGAGCAAGAGCAAGAGCACAAGACCUGGUCCAUACCGCAAUUACCACUCUAACGGAUGACUGUGGGAUUGGGCCAAUGUCUUUCAGUGACGGCUCGCACCAAAAGUGGGCUGAAUUAUACCCAGACGAUUACGGCAAUUAGGAGGCCAUUUGAGGAGAACAGUGGCCAUAACUCAAGAGUGUGCUUCAUCGGUUUCACAAGGGAAAUAAAACGCUCUGCAGCCAAUCCUUUAGGCCUUAUCAGUCAAUGUGACAGCAGUAGGAUGAGUGAUAGAAGUCGUUGCUUAACUGACAGAUACAAUAAUAAUUCAACAGAGAGAGGGAAUCAUGUCAAAAUGUUUUAAUCCAAGCCAUAAUAACAAUGAAAGUGUUGCUUUAAUGACUGCUACCCAUCCAUGGGCUGUUUUCCUGCUUAUGCCACGAUUACAAUACAGCCAAAUGGUUUAAAGCGGAACAAUUUUCUUCAUGCUAAUGUGUAGCACUGAACAUUAGUGGUUACUGUUAAGUUUGUUUACUACUGCUAAUAUACGCUGGUCAGAAUGCUCUUACAGAACAGUGCUUAAACAGUACACAUAUUGACACACUGUACCAUUUUGAUAACACGAUGAGCAAUUCACAUAGCCUAAAGUUGGCCACACACAAGACAGGUAAUGACCUUGAGUUGGGGCAGAUCAGUCAUGAUCUGUGCUGACUUUUCAUUGUAAACAUUCACAGGGUUGAGGCCAUACAUAUUCAUGUGUGGAGUCCAGGUAGAAUAUUUUGCUCAGUAAAUGCUGCAGAUAUUCUGCGACUAGACAUAAAACAGCUUAAAGGGGUGUCUCCUGGGUGAAGACUAGGUUUUGCUAUCCAGAUGCCUCUGCAAAGCUACAGUUGAUGGAAUGCCAACGUGUGCAUCUGCAAACGUGUGUGAGUCUGUGUGUGUGCAUGAGUUUGUAUGGGGGUUGUGUACAUGUGUGAGUGUGUGCACGCUGUGGGCGCUGGCACAGCAGAUCUGAUUUUAUGGCUACACACACACACACACACACACACACACACACACACACACACACACACACACACACACACACACACACACACACACACACACACACACACACACACACACACACACACACACACACACACGGCUGUGUGUGCACACCAAGCAUGAAGCACGCUCUAAUAACCCAACUUCACAUUCUCCAGGUUUGGGCCGCGUGGCAAAAAAACUGAGAAAAAAAAAAAUCAUCCACGUUUAUGCGAGAAAGCAGAUGUGACAGCUCGCUAACGCCCACCUCCAUUCAAACUCAGCUGAUCAAGGCCCCUGCCUUUCACACCCAAGACUGGGGAGAGAGCGUGGAGAAGCCCGGCCUGGUCAGCCACGGAAGCCUCCCACACAUAGAGCGCCAUUGAUAAUAGAGCUGGCACAUCCACCACCGCAUUCUGCAGCACAGAGCCGCCCUUUUAUUCCACGCCAGUGUUUAAGUGGGGGAAAAAGGAGAGAAUGAGAGAGAGAAUGUUUUGCCACAUCAAGUGACUGUGUCUUUAUUAACGGAUGCUGCUUGACCUCUACAUAAUACGUUGUACACCAUCACACCAUCUGGGUGUGCCUUCCUGACACAUUGGACACACAAUGUUUUCAAUGCCUUGAGCUCAGUGUCGGGGACACUUGAGCCCUUUUUCCGAUAAAGGAAGUAAUAGCCUGUUCAGUGCUCGAGGACUCCUCUAUGGAGUGUGACUGAAAGAAAUCUGAAUUGAUAUGAGGAUGAGGUAGGACUGGUUAGUUUAUCGACUUUAUGAGGUAUACCGAUAUAUUUUCAAAUGAGAUAUAGGAUGAGACAAUACCGUUUACACCGAUAUAGUUGAAUGUUUCCCACAUAACCCGUUUCUUCCGGAAACCCAAGCUAAUGUUCAAUUCAAUUCAAAAUGUAUUUAUAUAGCGCCAAAACAAUAAAAUUGUCUCAAUGCGGCUUCCAGUUGAGUAGGCUGUAGCUGUGCCGACCGUGGCUGAGCAGGCUGAGUUGGCUGAGGUCAAUGACGGCAUCACCUGCCUUCUCCCCGCCCCGGCCCGCCAAUCGAUUGCCAUUUGAUAUCAAGUUUUAUUAUACGGCUCCUCAAUUGUUGCAAAAAGUUCCAUUGAUUUGAAUGAGCCACCCCAACGUUUACCGCUGCCAAAGAAACUGCUGUACUGCACCACUUUUGGAUAGUUGGUAACAAGGCAGAACAAACAAACAAAGCAGAAAACUGAAUAAAGUUUCAGCAAAAACAACAACGGGUUUUGUGCUUCUAAUUCACAUCUUUCAUAUCAUUCCGCAAGUAGUUCAGUCAUUUAACGUAAUGGAAACUUAAUUGAAGUCAGCAAGUAAUAGGUUGCUAUGCAACACCUGAAACUUUAAAGUGGCAUUAUGUAGGAAUUGUACUUCGGUGUUAGGGUUAGGAUUAGCAGUUUUACCUUAAAAUAACAGCUUAAAAAAAAAUUGGGGCGCUACAAUGACUAAUAUGGAGAAUCGCCUCUGUGCCAUUGCCAUACCAGGGUCCGUAGGCAUAUUACUGGGUUAUGUAGGUUUGCCUGAAGCCGCCUGGUUACUACUGUCUGCCGAACUAGCUUAUUUGCCAUCUUGCUUUGUCUUGUGGUGCACUUGCUUGAUGUUUGACUGUGUUAGGAAAGUUGUUGACUCACUAGUUUGUCAUAGUGUCAAAGUAAGCUAAUUUCAAGAGGUUUCGCUAGGUUUAGCCGCUAGCAUCUCGUUAGCGAUUAGCAAUUCCUACAUAAUGCCACUUUAAAGUUCUAUUUGCGUGAAGAACUAUUUUUUCUUAGCAGAAGUCACGAAAUGGCAACAAAAUCAGUAAAGAGAGGUAUUUUGGAGGAAUGUCUUCUAUCGUUUUGACAAGUAACCGAAUAAUAAGAGGGAUAAUGUAUAAUCCGGUGGUCAUUAUCGGAAAAAAAAUCUAGCUGUGUGUCAAAUUAAAUUUUCAGUGCGUAUUCUGUGGCUCUGGACAUGAGCACUGACAUAAAUGAUAAUGCUCAGAUCGCGAUUUUUGUCCGCAGUGUUAACAACCAGUUCGAAGUGACAGAGGAAUUACUUUGUGUAAAAACAAUGCAAGGCUGUACCACAGCUAAGGAUGUAUUUGAGCAACUGUGGGAAGCAAUUGAGCAUGCUGGUCUGUCAUGGAAGUCGCUCUGAGGAAUAACAACAGACGGCGCACCAUCAAUGAUUAGUAUAUCAGUAAACUAUUCAUUUUAGAUCACUAUGGAUGGAAAGAUGCUGUAUUUUGACAGACAUAAAAUUAUUCACUUGAAAUAUAUUUAUUAUAAAUACAUAUAUUUUAUAAAAUAAAAUAAUUCAAAUUUUUGCUGAAACUUUAUUCAGUUUUCUGCUUUGUUUUAUUUGUUUGCAGCCUUGUUACCAACUAUCCAAAAGUGGUGCAGUACAGCAGUUUCUUUGAAAUGUGCAUGUAUGAAGUACAAAUAUAUAUGCAGUUGUCGAUGAAGACAUUAUCCCACUAUAACUGCUGUAUAUGUAAGACAUGGGCUAUAAAUGAGUCAAAGUGAUCCAAAAAUGCAACUAUAACAAACACCUUUAUCCAAAGCAUCUUGCAUUUCCCAGGAAUUGAAACCCAGGUCAGCUACUUGUUAUUCACCAACACAAACCAUCGUACCACUGAUCACACAUGGUAAAUUUGCCACACUCAAAAGUGGUAUCUACAGUGUUGUGAGCCAACAGAUCAAAAACAUCUGGCCCCCCACUGACCAGACUGGACGCUCAUCGGCCCCCCGGGUAAUUUUAGUUUGAGACAACUGCUCUAGACCAUAACCCCGACCCCAUUCUCCCUCUGUGUCUGCGGAGGUCCCUUUAGACCCCAUAGUGGCCAGUGACCUUAAAUUUAUAUAUUUAUUAACUACUUUGAUAUAUUUUCAUAUGGAUGUUCCGUUCGGUGUCAAACAGUACAUGUUUAGCUAGCCAGCUAACAGUAUAAUGAGUCCAGCCACGUCUGUGAACCAUUCGCCUAUUUGUAUCUUUUGAUACAGUUUUCCUCUGUGUAUUUCUCACUGCAAAACCACUAAAAAUGUAGCUCUCUCUCAUAAUGUGUUAACCAUCACCAAAAUAUCUGCAUGGAAGUGGCCACAGUCAAUUUUUGAAAACUGAACUGAAACUGAACUAGCUAACUGUUAGCUAGUGAAGCUAACAUGGGUAAGACAACUUUACCUCAGAGUUAUCAGUCUGAAAUGGGCAGCUAUCCAAUUAUAUUUGGAAGAAUCCAACAGAAAUGCAGUAGCUACUAUAAUUUUCAGAUAUACAAGGGGGAAUCCACACUAUGGCAACUGAGACUGACCAUCUGCUCCCCAUACUCGUUCUAGCAAAUAAAAAGCAAGACGAGGGAAUAAACUCGUAAUGUCCAGCAUUUUUUUUCCUAAUUGUGCUGCUUCUCUGAGAACAUGGCCCUUGUUUUAAGAUAAAAGAAGCUUCACAUGCUAAUUACUGUGGCCUUCAUGUAGGAAACCCAGAGCACGAGCAUGAACCUGCAUCCAAAAUAAGCUCGAAACAGGAACAAGAGCUGCCUCAUGGGUAAAUAUGUUGUUUCUACUUCUCUGUGCGCAUACAGAUAAGGGGCUUCAGAUAAGGACCUUUGCUUGUAAUGAGUACUUUGUUGGGACUCUACCGCAUCAGUUGUUUAUCUGUUUAUCUUCAGCUUGAAGGGUUGCUUAAUGUACUCAAACACAAGCACCCUGGGCUGGUGAUUUCAGGGGAGUGUGCUGCGGUUCGACCCCUCACGAGGAGCCGACUUAUGGGCGACUUAGAGGGGGUACAAUCCACUGCAAGGCAAUCCGUUCAAUUCAUUCGAUUUAUUUUUAAUUAUUUUAUUUACCACGGCUUGCGUGUACAGUGGCCUAUUAUUUUCUCGGGACUUGCAGGGUUUUUGUUCGGCGCUUGCAUAAUGGAGAACGCAAGCGCACACACAGACUACUCCUGGUCUAAAGCUCAUUAUAAUUUUUUUUUCCAAGUGCGUUUUGAAGAGCCAGCUUUUGAAAUGCAUUCAAAAACACAGUGUUCUGAGCGCUCCUAAUCCCCCGCCGUUCUGGAAUGGGAAGACCUGACUUGGAGAGAGCACAACUAUGCAAAACAGUCAGGCGCUUCCUGCAUACAUCUAAUUAAAAGAAGUUUUCAAAAGGCAAUUUAUCUGUGAAUAAUAGCAUCAAAUACAGAGGAGAACAGGCAAAAGACUGAGACUGAAAUGUAUUUCAAUAGUGCCAGUGGAGGUGGGUAUGGGGAUGGGUGGGGUGAACAGGAGGAGGUUGCUGGGUCAUGGUUCCUAAUUAAAGACGAGAAAGUCAGCGGUAGCCCUGAGAUAGCCUCUACCCUUGACUUACCUCCAUAAACAAACACACACACAAGGCUCAGGACAUUUUUUUAAGUGGAUCCUCAUGACGCGGCUGUUUUCUUGCUGUCGGUUUAAAAAAAGACAAAAAGAGGGAAGAAGUAACCAACAGCUCCUCUGAAAGAGCCCAAACUGAAGCUGUCCUUAGCGUGGACAGAGCAGAGAUCAAGCCCCUCUCCCCAGAGGCCCAGGGCCACGCGCGCCCCCGACUUUGGAGAGGGUUCAUUAGGACAGCACUUUCCCACAGCAGCCCCAACCCCCCAACUCUCCACUGCCUCAGCACACAGCUAACAAGGGAGGGCUAGCGACACAAAAUGUAUGGAGCUCUGUGUUGAAGCACUAGCUUCUCUCACAGCAGCAGCCCGCGGGGAAAACCACUAGCGCUGAACAAACAGCACUGUAUGGAGCUUUUCCUGUGACACCCAAAUCUCUCAUGGCAUCAAGGAUCAAUGGAUUCUGCCAUCAGUGUAAACAAGCCAAACCAUUACAGCAAAAUAAUAACUACAACAUACAUGGUCUGUCCGCCAUGACACACUGCCUGCUCUUAACACCACACUAACUUGAUAGCUGUCGCCACAGACUUACGAAACAACCACAUUUUCUACAUUCAAUCUUGCAUACCAUUGCGAGCAAACUAUUUAAACAGGGUGGAGUUUGUGUCUAUGACAUGUAUUGGCGUCAUCACAUCAGCAAUAGUGCGAGGUCAUCGGAGCUGGCACCAACAUGAAACCCUUCCAGUGACACUAGCAAGGCUUGUUCCUUGAAGAACGACACGCGCUUAUAUACAAAAGCUGUAUCUCCAAAUAAAAGGCGAUCAAAACAACGCUGUGAGAAAAGACUGCCAGUGGUGGCGCGUUACACAAAGUUUGCAUCAUCCUGCUUUUAGAUAUCUGGCAUGAGGCAUGAACUCCCAAAAUAGCGGCGUGAUAGACGACAAUUUCAGGGGAGGAGCUAAUGCUAAAAAAGAGCAAGAUACACAAUCAAAGAGCUCCCCCUGUUGCAGAGGGAAAUACAAAAUGCCAAAAUGUUUUGGCGAUAAGUCAACAAAAAUGCAAACAGCUGCACUAAACCUUGGCUCAUUCACACAAUAACAAAUUACUUUUCCUCAAUGCCAUCAUUUGCUUGCUAGCCUGAAUGUGCAGGUACAUGCAGAGCUGUUUUUGGCAGGAGAACAGUAGAGGUGAGAGCUUCAUUCCUGAACUUGCAUUCAUGGCAGACUGCAGGAUCCCCUGACAGCAGCUGUGCAGGUGGCGAAGAUGUGUUCUCCAGUUUCAGUUUCAUUCCUCAACCACACACAUAUACAAACAAACACACACACACACACACACACACACACACACACACACACACACACACACACACACACACACACACACACACACACACACACACACACACACACACUCACAGGAUGGCCUAGUGAUUACAAUUAAGCAGCUCUUAUCCUUCCACAUAAUCAAGUCUGGGUGGUAAUCCCCAUGUGUGUACGCUCUACCUAUCCAGCAGGAUGGUGACUCAAGAGGCACAAGGAAUGGGUUUCCGUACACGCCUGCAAACUGGGCACAGGAAGGAUGAUUUAUACAGAGCAAUCACAGACCGUUACCUGUGGGAUCAGACAUGCUACACAGCCCCCGCCCACCCCCGAUUCCCCCAAUGCAGACAGCUCAAAGCCAAACAGAGAGCAGGGAUGCCCAGGAAGAGAGAAUGCUCUUAGUGAGUGCUCAGAUCCGAGGUGGGCUGGCAGGCCGGGGUGGGGUGGGGUGGGGGUAACAGACACAUACCCAUGAGAUGGGGGGAUAUUUGUGAGCGAGUCUUAUCUCUGCAGCUGCUGCGACUACUACUCUUUAUUGUGGCUUUCUUUAUCUCCCCCUUCCUGCCAGGGGCUGGAAUGAAGAAAGGGAUGAGGAAAUGGUGGGGUGAAGUAAGCGAAAACAUCGAUAAUCCAUUCUUCCUAAAAUGCUGCACAGAUAAUGGAAAUGUGCUACUUUGAAAUAUAGUGCUCAUUGGAUGGCGACGACGGCAAAGCAUCAGUCAUGUCCGCCUAAACUUUACUCCUGCAUUUUACCAACUAGUCCUUGCAGAGAAGAAAAGAUUACAAGAAGUUCAGCCCCAUGUACAGCACUAAAUAAACAUAUGAUUAAAUUAUAAUUGGACAUAAAUAAACAAAUAAAUAAAUAAAUGAAUGAAUGAAAGAAUGAAUGAACAGACACAUUUAUUUUUCAUUCAUUUUAUAAGCUCAUCAGAAGAUGGAGUUGGGAUCAGAAGAUGGAGUUCGUAGUGUUUAGACUUCUAAUAAACACUGCAAGGGUGCCUGCGGGUGGAGAGGGCACAGACCACACAGAGCCUCUGAUUGUCUCAUGGUUACAGCUGUUGUCAUUCCGAGGUAAGGGUCGGGGAGAUCAAAUGAGGAAACAGAGGGAUAUUUCUUUUUCUUUUUUUUUCUGGCCCAUUUUUUUCCUCAUUUGUGAAAAAAAGCAAAGGGAUUUGGGCUUUUAAUUGUGCUGCCUUUAUGCAGAGCAUCCCAUUUGGCUUGCAUCGGGGGAGACAAAAGCGAACAGCUUAACCUCCAGUCAGAUGUCACAGCACACUGGCAGCCUGUUGUUUUAAUAACGGUGCCAGGGUCCGCGGAGAAGGGAGAGGCGAUGCUGCAAAAUCUUGUUUAAAAAAAUAAAUAAAUAAAUAAAAAAUCACUACUUUGGCAGUCAUUUCAGGUCAGCCUGUGGAAAAACACUGAAAAAAAUGAACCCAAGCCUAGUGUGAGAGAAUGCACUGCCCAUAUCAACAGUGAAAUAUCGGGAAAGGCACAGGCACUGAAAAAUGGAGACAAAAAGCAAGCAAUUCGCCUAGAUGCUGCUGCAGCUCUGAAACAGACGACUCAAAAGGCAAGGCUACAGUAUAUGUUUAGUUGAGGCUACUGCACUUGAAGACAAACCUAGGCAAUAUGUGCCAUACAAUUGUUGAUCCUUUAUUUAUCAAUGUAUUUGUUUAAUGAAUAAUGGCUUCUGGAAUAAAGGACUAUUGAAGGACCUUCCCAAAAUGCAUGCCUUCCACAACCACACAGAUUAACUUCCAAAAAUUUGCCCAGAUUUAUAUUUCCUAAGCUACGCUACUGUGGAUUGACGGAUAAUCCAUGAAUUUCUUAAAUAUAAUCACAUUUGAGCAGAUCAUGGGCGCCUCGUGGCAGCAGAGAUUCGGAGUGCAGAGCAUAUGCAAUAUGCUGAUCCCUAAGCUCAUCAAACCCCUUUCUUAACAGUCAAAACCAAUCUACGGAGCCCUCAGAGGGGGUUUCAACUGUGGGCUGCUCCAGAGUCAGAGACCUCUGCUGAUGUGAGGGGGGAAGGUAUAGGAGUGUAUGUGCCCAUGCAGGUCUGUGUUUGCAUUCAAAGUAACAUACAGAUUUUGGGGAUUUCUUGCACUUUUACAAACGUUUACAUUGUUCACACUGCCAUAUUCAAAGCAGUGAUCCAAAUAGCAAAGAACAAAAUGAUCAAGAAAUGAGGAGAGGAAAGGAGAAGAGAAGAGGAAGAUGUUAGAUGUAGAAUUAAUUACCACAGAAUGCAAAUGCUGUCACCAGAAGACGCUCCUAUAGGCACAAGUCCUUUCAGAAGCGGUUGGCUCAUUAGCACAUGUGCAGUGAUAUCAGGAAACCCCAAUAGGAAGCAAUAAUAAACACCUUUCAAAACCAUCUAAAUGUUUAGAUACAGUCUAAUCAGCAGAACCUAAUACAGCCAAUUAAGUCAUGCACUAUUUAUCCUAGUUAUGUAAUUUGACAGAAUUUGACAACUUCUGACAACUAACUAAAAUAAAUAUACCCAAAAUAACAUAUGCUAUGACAAGUGGAAUUGGAGACAGACAUCGGAACCCCCCACAUAUUUUUGCAUUCAUGGUGGUGCCUUUGUUAAGAAAUGACCUUGCGCUACCCUGUAAACCUGGAUUUUGACCCUUGUUUGGCCGCUGUGUUGAGAAAGAAUUAAAGCACCGUGCCAUGAGCCAGGCCAGGCAGAGUAGGCGAUGUUCAGUGGAGAAUUCCAGCGCAUACCAAACAGGCUUGAGACUUAGGGUGGCUGGUGGCUGGUGCCACGUGAGCAGGUGCCAUGGCCAGAAAGACUCAUUAAGCCUCCGCUGUGCCACCUCUCUGUCCAUGCCAGCACACUACCGAGUGCCUUUUCAACACCUCUCACAACCCUACACGUCGUUUAUCAAUCCCACUCGGAUGGGUUAUCAACACACACACACACACACACACACAAUCAUGGCUGUCAUGAGCGUGCUUGCUCCUGAGGUAAAGUGUGUCACAGCGGGACUGUGCGAUUACUUGUCACGCAAAAAUGGAUGAUACUCCACCCCGAUGCGGCACAAAUGUGGGAUUUAACGAUAUUCCCGUAAUCCUAAUCUAACAAGAGAUCAGCAAGGUGAGCCACCUGAGCGGGCCCCUGAAAUGCACUGCACUUUUCUAAAUGCACUUUGUACUGCUGCUGUGUGUGCGUGUGUGUGUGCUUCCAGCCUAAAUCACGAUCUACAUUUGUGACGGGAUUAUGUACACAAAUGAGGACGAGGCAGGAACAAAUGGCAUGAGUGUGUAGAUGUUGGCAUCAUUAGAGAGCUUCAUUAACAUAUGAGCUUGGCUCAUGGACGUAUCUGAGGGAUCAACAUUCCCCUGGGACUGUGCCUCACAUUUCCAGGGAUUCAUUGAAUGCAGGAAGGAGAUGCAAAUAGCCUACAUACUGCUACUGAUGGUCUUGGAAUUCACAGAUAUUCAAGUGUGAUAUGUAUGAAAAUGAUGAAUCAUAACAGGAAAACGUAUUACUUAUUAACAAAGGUCGGAGGACGUGGUUUCUGAUCACAGGAAAGACUAAGCGUAUUUCUUUCUGUCAAUCACAUAACAAAAGUCAAAAUGUGGUCAACUAAUUAAUUUGCUAUUAAUCAUAGUUUAUCAGUUAGCAUAGGCAACACACUAUUAAAAUCUGCCACUUCAGAUUGCAAGUAGCACCACCAUUAAUGUCAAUAAUAAAACAAACCUAUUAUAUCUGGAGUGAUUGACUAGCCAUCUGAAGAUUUGGGUAUCCUUUGGCUAUCCCAAGCUUGAGUGACAGGUACCAGAGACAACUGUAAAAUCACCCAUCCUAAUCAGCAGCCUUUUGAUUGAGAGAUUACCCCCUUCCCCCUGCCACACAGGCUCUCUGCUCUAAUAGGCCUGCCUGGUUAGCCAUCAUCAUUGAAAUCAUAGGUUCCCGUUUUCAUGUUAACACAUUCAUGUAAACCCAUUUAGUCAGUCAACAUUUCAUGCUGACCCAUCAUGUGACACCUUGCAUGAUCUAAAGAGCUCAAAUGAAUACAAAUCUUAUCAAUGACCCCGCUAACCAAUAUGAAUAAGGACAUGAAAAAGAGCCCUCGCUGUGUCAUCAUUAACCAUCUCAUGUUCUGGAUUUCCAAUAGUGUCUCUCAUUUAAGUGUACUUAUGCUCCAGAUUUCAAUACUGUUCCUCCAAGUUCUGCCAGCAACUCUUUAUUGGGAAUCAGUGGAUGCCCAAACAAAGAUAUGUUCUUGCUGGAGCUUAACGCAGUCACUUAAACAAGGCCAAAGCUAAGUGUUCAGUAGAGGAUGAAUACUGCUGUUUCCAUAUGAUGCAGCUAGUUGCAUCCUGUUCACGGUGGCCCUCUUGAACAACACCGUGUUGCCUUGUUCCUUGAGGGAAAAAGUGUUUUACAUGAAUUGUGAUGUAUUAAAAGUCUCAACGAGCCCAAGAGAUCUGUACUGCAUCUAUAAUUUGUGUGAGGCCCUGUAGGUGUGCUAAUUGAAUAUUGUGACUUAGUCAUCUUAAACACUCCAGUAUGGUUCUUUGAGAGAUAAUACUACCCUAUGUCCCGUAAAGUGCAGCCUUUUGCAUGAGGAAACUAAUGUUAAUUAGACUGUUAAUUACUACUUACAUUAUAUUCCUGUGAAUAUACACACAUUCUGGCAAAACACCAUCUUGGCAUCCAUAACAGUGGCUUUCUCAAGACUGCAACGCAUUACUAGCUUUAACUUGUGGUUAUAUCGCUCAUGAAGAAAUCGAUUUAAUGUCUAUUCUAAAUUUGGAUGCAGGAGAAUAGGUAAACUGCAUUGACAGUGCUGCAUGUGCUUAAACACAAGGUAAGGUCCCAAACUCUCCCACCUUUUCAAAAAUCCUUUGUAAGAUCUAAUAUGCAGCACACUAAAGGAUCACACUGUCUGUGUUUCCAUGAGGGGAAACUGUCACUGAAGCACAAGUUGAGCCAGCAGCUUCCCAGAGCAUGACCUUGUGACAGAUCGCUGCAGCUAUUUAUAUUCAUUCAUAGUACACUGAAUAUGCAUGCCAAUCGCACUGCAUCUAUUUUUUCAUGCAGCAGUCAUGUAAAGUGAAUAUAACACCCCACUUGCGUCUACAGUGCAAGGGACAGAUUCAUGUCUGCAUUUUACAUCUCUCCAUGGCAGGGACUUUGACUUCCAAAUGCUUAUUGAAAUGCAAACUACUGCACAUUUUCAACAUUUCAAGAACAAUCUACAGAAAUCACAGUUUUCACCAUUCACAUAAAGACAUCUUUGGCAACAACUGAUCAGUUCACAAACGGAAAGAGAGCCAAGUGCUUAAUUAUGGUAUUUUCCACACACAAAGGCAAACAAAAUACUUAUCUACAUUUAUGCAUUCGAAAGAAAAGCUUUAAAACAGGCUACCAAUGUAGCUACUUUAAAGACCCCAAUUCCACUCCUGUAGUUGUUAUCACAUAUACAAGACAAAACCCAGAAGAACAUGUUGUAAAUAGUCGUGUAGCCUACUGUCGCAACAGAUAUUUACAGUAUGGGGAGAUAUGAUGCACUGCCAGUGCUGUGCAGACUUUCAGAGACGGGCAUACACGUAAUUAGAGACUUUGCAUAGCCUCACCAUUGCCUUGCAUUAGCACACUAUCACAAGCUAAAUUACACACAAAUUCAGUAGUAGUAGUACAGCAGUCCAUUUAUAAUGUACGCAACAUCAAAUUUUAACAUUUGAUAGCUGACGCAUUUUCGUGAAGGCAAUCUUAUUAUUCAUUCAUGAUUCUUCAGCAGCCUGUACAACAACAAGAUAAAAGCUCGUUUAUCAAAUUCAUUUCUUGACAGAAUAUUCAUGGGUUCACGCUGACACGCCAAUUCCCUCAAUCAGUCCCCCUCAAAGGCGUGCGGCGUCUUAGUGAAAGCAUACACUCACUCCAUAGAUUAAUAUCUACAACAUCAUCGCCUUCUCCUGAGUGAACAAUUCAUAGAACACAUUGAUAUCUAUAAACCUACCUUUUUCUUCCCUUGGGGGUGUGAGUUGGGAGACACCACGCGUAUGGAGAGCUGCGUAAACUUGCCACACAGGCUAUCACCGGAUGGUUCUUCAGUGCUGUUUGGAUACUUCACCGCAGUGGGAUUUAUUUCUUCGGGAAGAAUUGCUUUCAGGAACGCAGUAUCAGAAUGUCUGUUAGAUCCGCGAGAAUAGUAUUACACGCAAAAUAAAUAUUGCCAAGUUAAGGUUACCAGAAUCCAGAAAAGCACCGUGCUAUUGUCCGUAAGGGAGUGUGAUAUUCCGUAACAAAAAAGCCAUUGUAGAUAUUCACGCUGAAACUGUUUUAUUAGAUAAUUUCUCAAAAAAUCUGCAAGUAGAUAAUGAAGUUACUGUCGAAGAGAAAAAUGUUUAAUCCGUGUCUGUUUUCUUCAAGUUCAUACCGUUAUUUCACUCCAACAGCAUCAAAUAAAGACAGUGGGAACCGCUGCUGGGGUAACGUUAGGUAGAUAGAUAGGUCAGGUGUAUUCGGAUCUCCCAACUGCGAACCACGAAGCAAUAGCCUAGCCUCUUUUCCAAAUAUGCCCUUGCCUUUAACUUAAAUAGUGAAAUCCUUAGCUAGAGGUGCAAAGGACUCCCAAAGAAAUAUUUUCAAGAAGUCUUCCUAUAGUUUUUUUCUUCAACGCGCUCUGGUCUACUCUAAUUGUCGAGAUCACUCUCAGCGCAGCUUUACAACCGCUGAAACAACACAGACGACAGCAAGCCUAUCACAGGGAAUGCAAGUUUUAUCCCACCCACUAUUACAGGGCAACCUUCGAGGAACAAAAUGUAGUUAUCCC